AUUGAACGCUGGCGGAAUGCUUUACACAUGCAAGUCGAACGGUAGAGGGGGCAACCCCUCGAGAGUGGCGAACGGGUGAGUAAUAUAUCGGAACGUGCCCAGUCGUGGGGGAUAACGUAGCGAAAGUUACGCUAAUACCGCAUACGAUUUAAGGAUGAAAGCGGGGGAUCGCAAGACCUCGCGCGAUUGGAGCGGCCGAUAUCAGAUUAGGUAGUUGGUGGGGUAAAGGCUCACCAAGCCAACGAUCUGUAGCUGGUCUGAGAGGACGACCAGCCACACUGGAACUGAGACACGGUCCAGACUCCUACGGGAGGCAGCAGUGGGGAAUUUUGUACAAUGGACGCAAGUCUGAUCCAGCCAUGCCGCGUGCAGGAUGAAGGCCCUCGGGUUGUAAACUGCUUUUGUACGGAACGAAAAGGUCUCUCUUAAUACGGGGGACUCAUGACGGUACCGUAAGAAUAAGCACCGGCUAACUACGUGCCAGCCGCCGCAGUAA
rnacentral:rRNA from 1 species